AGAGUUUGAUCAUGGCUCAGGACGAACGCUGGCGGCGUGCCUAAUACAUGCAAGUCGAGCGAGCUUGCCUAGAUGAUUUUAGUGCUUGCACUAAAUGAAACUAGAUACAAGCGAGCGGCGGACGGGUGAGUAACACGUGGGUAACCUGCCCAAGAGACUGGGAUAACACCUGGAAACAGAUGCUAAUACCGGAUAACAACACUAGACGCAUGUCUAGAGUUUGAAAGAUGGUUCUGCUAUCACUCUUGGAUGGACCUGCGGUGCAUUAGCUAGUUGGUAAGGUAACGGCUUACCAAGGCAAUGAUGCAUAGCCGAGUUGAGAGACUGAUCGGCCACAUUGGGACUGAGACACGGCCCAAACUCCUACGGGAGGCAGCAGUAGGGAAUCUUCCACAAUGGACGAAAGUCUGAUGGAGCAACGCCGCGUGAGUGAAGAAGGGUUUCGGCUCGUAAAGCUCUGUUGGUAGUGAAGAAAGAUAGAGGUAGUAACUGGCCUUUAUUUGACGGUAAUUACUUAGAAAGUCACGGCUAACUACGUGCCAGCAGCCGCGGUAAUACGUAGGUGGCAAGCGUUGUCCGGAUUUAUUGGGCGUAAAGCGAGUGCAGGCGGUUCAAU
rnacentral:rRNA from 1 species